GUGGCCGGAACCGGAAACACUCCAGAGGAGGAGGAGAAGGAAGAGGCGGGGAGCGGAAGUGACGCAGAGGAGCGGCGGGAGAAGCGGCGAGGAGAAGCGGCGGCGGCGGCGUGACGUCACUGCGGGACACCGGGCAGCCCCGGGAGUGACGUCAUGCCGACCGUGCUGGGUCUGGAGGGCUCCGCCAACAAAGUGGGCGCGGGCGUGGUGCGGGACGGCGCCGUCCUCAGCAACUGCCGCGCCACCUACGUCACGCCGCCGGGACAGGGGUUCGCGCCCGGUCCCACCGGGCGGCACCACCGGGCGGUGCUGCUGGGGCUGAUCCGCGCCGCGCUGCGGGAGGCGGGGACCGAACCGGGGGACAUCGACGGGGUGGCGUUCACCAAGGGCCCGGGCAUGGGGUCCCCGCUGGCCGUGGUGGCCGCCGUGGCGCGGACGCUGGCCCAGCUGUGGCGGCGCCCCCUGCUGGCCGUGAACCACUGCGUGGGGCACAUCGAGAUGGGCCGGCUGCUCGGCCCCGCCCCCGACCCGCUCGUGCUCUACGUCAGCGGCGGCAACACGCAGGUGAUCGCCUACUCCCGGCGCCGGUACCGGAUCCUGGGCGAGACCCUGGACGUGGCCGUGGGGAACUGCAUCGACCGGCUGGCGCGGCUGCUGCAGAUCCCCAACGCCCCCAGCCCGGGAUACAACGUGGAGCAGCUGGCCAAGAGGGGCCGCCGGCUGCUCCCGCUGCCCUACGUGGUGAAGGGUUUGGAUGUUUCAUUUUCGGGGCUCCUCUCGCACCUCCAGGCAGUGACCCCAAAAUUGUUGGAGUCGGGGGAGGCGACCCCGGAGGAUUUGUGCUUCUCCCUGCAGGAGACGGCGUUCGCCAUGCUGGCCGAGGUGACCGAGCGCGCGCUGGCGCUGACCAGGGCGGGGCACCUGCUGCUCGUGGGGGGCGUGGCCUGUAACCACCGGCUGCAGGAGAUGCUGCAGGUGAUGUGCAGAGCGCGGGGGGCGGAGCUGUGCCCCGUGGACGACAGGUACUGCAUCGACAACGGCGCCAUGAUCGCCCAGGCCGGCUGGGAGAUGCUGAGGGCGGGGCAGGUGACGGAGCUCAGCCAAUCAGGGAUCACGCAGAGGUACCGGACGGAUGAGGUGGAGGUGACCUGGAGGGACUGAGGUGGCCACGCCCCCAAUGGCCACGCCCCGAAUGGCCACGCCCCAAAUGGCCACGCCCAUUUAAUAAAAGACACUCCCCCCAUAUUCUGGCCACGCCUCUUCAUUUGUGGAUGAUGUAAUGCCCUUGGUGACCCCGCCCAUGUGGAAAGGACCAAUCAGCUUGUCUCUCACCGGUGGAGGUGUUCCCUGCUGCUGUCAAUCUCCUGCAAGCCACGCCCUCUUUUUAAAGCCUCAUUUGCAUAACCCUGCCCCUACCCAUGACGUCAUUCAGCCAAGCGGCCAAUAGGAUGGCGCGGCUGAGCGCGGCCAAUGGGAGCGCGGGGGGCGUGGCUUGGCUGAGGGGGCAGCGGGCGCAGGCGGGAUCGGCUCAGUCUGUGCGCGGCCGGCGGAGGGAGAACGUCGGAGAGGCGGAGCCGCCGGCGGGAAACGGGGGACGGCUUCUGGAGGAUCUCCACUUUUUUUAUUUUUUCCUUUUCUACUGUGGAAUUUACCGCGGGUUUGGCGAGGGGAAACCUAAAAGUUAAUUAAGAGGGUUUUUUAAUAAAAGUGCGCUUUAGAUGCGUUUUGAAUAAACACUCUUUGUGCCGAUCGG